UCCGGAUUUAUNGGGCGUAAAGCGAGCGCAGGCGGUUAGAUAAGUCUGAAGUUAAAGGCUGUGGCUUAACCAUAGUACGCUUUGGAAACUGUUUAACUUGAGUGCAGAAGGGGAGAGUGGAAUUCCAUGUGUAGCGGUGAAAUGCGUAGAUAUAUGGAGGAACACCGGUGGCGAAAGCGGCUCUCUGGUCUGUAACUGACGCUGAGGCUCGAAAGCGUGGGGAGCGAACAGGAUUAGAUACCCUGGUAGUCCACGCCGUAAACGAUGAGUGCUAGGUGUUAGGCCCUUUCCGGGGCUUAGUGCCGCAGCUAACGCAUUAAGCACUCCGCCUGGGGAGUACGACCGCAAGGUUGAAACUCAAAGGAAUUGACGGGGGCCCGCACAAGCGGUGGAGCAUGUGGUUUAAUUCGAAGCAACGCGAAGAACCUUACCAGGUCUUGACAUCCCGAUGCCCGCUCUAGAGAUAGGGUUUUACUUCGGUACAUCGGUGACAGGUGGUGCAUGGUUGUCGUCAGCUCGUGUCGUGAGAUGUUGGGUUAAGUCCCGCAACGAGCGCAACCCUUAUUGUUAGUUGCCAUCAUUCAGUUGGGCGCUCUAGCGAGACUGCCGGUAAUAAACCGGAGGAAGGUGGGGAUGACGUCAAAUCAUCAUGCCCCUUAUGACCUGGGCUACACACGUGCUACAAUGGCUGGUACAACGAGUCGCAAGUCGGUGACGGCAAGCUAAUCUCUUAAAGCCAGUCUCAGUUCGGAUUGUAGGCUGCAACUCGCCUACAUGAAGUCGGAAUCGCUAGUAAUCGCGGAUCAGCACGCCGCGGUGAAUACGUUCCCGGGCCUUGUACACACCGCCCGUCACACCACGAGAGUUUGUAACACCCGAAGUCGGUGAG
rnacentral:rRNA from 1 species